rnacentral:rRNA from 1 species
CCCUUCGAUGUUCUGGGCCGCACGCGCGCUACACUGAUCCAGUCAACAAGUUUACAACCUUAUCCGAAAGGAUUGGGUAAUCUUUUGAAACUGGAUCGUGAUAGGGAUAGAUGAUUGCAAUUAUUUGUCUUGAACGAGGAAUGCCUAGUAGGGUUGAUUCAACAGAUUGACCCGAUUACGUCCCUGCCCUUUGUACACACCGCCCGUCGCUCCUACCGAUUGGAUGUUCCGGUGAGGAUUCAGGACUCGGGGGUUUUUUCCUGUCUUGGGGUUCUGCUCCUUGACAGAGCUCUGGGAAAUUUAUUCAAAUCUUAACAUUUAGAGGAAGGAGAAGUCGUAACA